rnacentral:rRNA from 1 species
GCCUACGGCCAUACCAUCCCGAACGCGCCCAAUCUCGUCUGAUUUCAGAAGCUAAGCAUGGUCGGGCCUGGUUAGUACUUGGAUGGGAGGUAAUUUUUAUAUAUGAAGUGUGGUAGGAA